GCAUCUCCCGCAGGAGCUGUUGAAUCAGCACGCUGAAGAAGUACAGAGACUGGUGAACAAGCUGAUAAACUCAGACAGCAGCAAAAACUUCAAGAUCUAAAAUAGGCCCGGGCUUUUUUUAAAGUUACUGACAUGACGCUGGUCCUCACUUUUUGGAGUCUACUCCCUCAUUUCCAGGCUGAACAGGAAGCUGUACAACAACCGGUCUGACAAGUUACAAGUGGUGGACCUACAUCAUCUAGAUGUACAGGUACAAAUUCUACUAGUACGAUUCGAUGCAGUGGAAGAGGUUGAAGUUGACGUUUAAGCAGUCACCCUGCCGAACAAGAAAUCAGUCAGGCAAAGAGGCUAGGUUGACUAGAAACUCAAUCACUAUAUCCGUGAAACUUGCUGGAAGCUAUGUGUGGAGGUCGGACCGAAACUGUAAUCAGACACUAAACAUUAACGAGGACCAAUUAUUUUACUCCCUUAAUGAUGAAUAAAGAUCGCUGAUUGCUUUUACUAAUAUAUAGUGUUAAAAUGAAAAAGAAACUGUUGAGACGAAAGAGAAAAACGCACUCAUUUAUUUAUAGUUUUAUGUCUUAACAAUGUUAUUCGAAAGCUAAUUUUAAAAGCUGGCUCUGAAUCCUUGCUAAAUGAUUUGGGAAGGUGUAAGGGCUAAAUAUGCCUGUAGACAUCAUUUUCAGUGGGUUUUAUGAAGUUUAUGAUUAGGGUAUAUUUUGGGACUGAAAUAAGCGCAAGACCUUCGACGUUUCUAUUGCUACUGUUUUUUUAAUUUAGCAAAUAUACAAACAAAUUUUAUACUGUCGUAAAGAUAAAAUAUUUAGUUAUCGGAUAGAGACUUGAAAAUUAAGUAUUACAAUAACCAAGCUAAAAUAUUCAAUGUUAAACUCAAAAAUUUUCACGCGUUUAUGAAAAAAUAUUUAGUUCUGCGCGUAGUUUUUUGGUCACAUCUACGGCAAAUUUUCGCCAAUUUUGUUCAUAAUUUCAAAAUGUUAUUUAGUAGACAAAUUACUUUCGGACUACA